rnacentral:rRNA from 1 species
AACGUAGGAGCCUAGCGUUAUCCGAAUUUACUGGGCGUAAAGCGCAAGCAGGCGGCUUGGUAAGUUGGCUGUGAAAUCUCCCGGCUCAACUGGGAGGGGACGGUCAAGACUGUCAGGCUGGAGGCAGGUAGAGGGAGGUGGAAUUCCCGGUGUAGUGGUGAAAUGCGUAGAUAUCGGGAGGAACACCAGUGGCGAAAGCGGCCUCCUGGACCUGUCCUGACGCUGAGGUGCGAAAGCUAGGGGAGCGAACGGG